ACGUAAUAGAUACCCAGGUAGUCCACGCCCUAAACGAUGUCUACUAGUUGUCGGGUUUUAAUUAACUUGGUAACGCAGCUAAACGCGUGAAAGUAGACCGCCUGGGGAGUACGGUCGCAAGAUUAAAACUCAAAGGAAUUGACGGGGACCCGCACAAGCGGUGGAUGAUGUGGAUUAAUUCGAUGCAACGCGAAAAACCUUAACCUACCCUUGACAUGGCAGGAAUCCUGAAGAGAUUUGGGAGUGCUCGAAAGAGAACCUGCACACAGGUGCUGCAUGGCUGUCGUCAGCUCGUGUCGUGAGAUGUUGGGUUAAGUCCCGCAACGAGCGCAACCCUUGUCAUUAGUUGCUACGAAAGAGCACUCUAAUGAGACUGCCGGUGACAAACCGGAGGAAGGUGGGGAUGACGUCAAGUCCUCAUGGCCCUUAUGGGGUAGGGCUUCACACGUCAUACAAUGGUACAUACAGAGGGCCGCCAACCCGGCGAGGGGUAGCUAAUCCCAGAAAGUGUAUCGUAGUCCGGGA
rnacentral:rRNA from 1 species